GACGAACGCUGGCGGCGUGCUUAACACAUGCAAGUCGAGCGGUAAGGCCCUUUUGGGGGUACACGAGCGGCGAACGGGUGAGUAACACGUGGGUGACCUGCCCUCAGCUCUGGGAUAAGCCUGGGAAACUGGGUCUAAUACUGGAUAUGACCUUUCCUCGCAUGGGGUUGGGUGGAAAGUUUUUCGGCUGGGGAUGGGCCCGCGGCCUAUCAGCUUGUUGGUGGGGUGAUGGCCUACCAAGGCGACGACGGGUAGCCGGCCUGAGAGGGCGACCGGCCACACCGGGACUGAGACACGGCCCAGACUCCUACGGGAGGCAGCAGUGGGGAAUAUUGCGCAAUGGGCGGAAGCCUGACGCAGCGACGCCGCGUGGGGAUGAC
rnacentral:rRNA from 1 species